CUCUCCUGACUGGAUAAUUUCCAAUAGAAAUUGGAAAUUGAAUUUUCUUCUGCUUUUUGAAACCUGCUAUUGAAGCUUUCUAUUGAAUUUUUCAGUUCAGUCAUUGUGUUCCUAAGCUUUGGUAUUUCCACUUAGCUUGUCUGAUGAUUUCUAUUUCUUUGUUAAAGUUCUCAUUUUGUUCAUGAAUCUUUUUCCUAAUUUCAUUUAGUUGUCUGUAUAUUCUUGUAGUUCACUGAUUUUCCUUGAGACAAUUUUCCUAACUUUUUUUUAAGAGUUGCUUUAUUUUUUUUUAAAGAUUUUAUUUAUUUAUUCAUGAGAGACACAGAGAGAGAGUCAGGCAAAGACAUAGGCAGAGGGAGAAGCAGAUUCCCUCUGGGGAACCCAAUGCAGGACUUGAUCCCAGGACCCCCCCAGGACCAUGACCUGAGCCAACAGCAGACACUCAACCACUGAGCUACCCAGGUGCCCCUCUAAAAUUUUUGUUAGAAAGUUCAGUGAUUACAUUUUAGGCUAAGUUAUGGGAGCUUUAUUUGAUUCCAUUGUAGUGUCAUAUUUACUUGAUGCUUUGUGAUCCUUCUAUUCUUGUGUUGGCAUCUGCCUUUGAGUAAACAGUCUCCUUGUUCAGAUUCUGCAGUUUUUGUUUCAGCACAGAAAGACCUUCACCAGCCAGCUCAGCUUAGGGUACUCAGUCACUUGGUAGCAUCUGUGAGCAGAUGGAGCUUGCCACUGGAGUCUCUAAUUAGAUUGGGCCACUGUCCCUGCUCUUGGGGAGGGGGUGGAGUUUGUCACUGGUUGAGUUGGCCUUCUGGCUGGACUCUGUGUUCAAGUAGUGCUGCUAUGUGCACUACCUAGUUGGGCAAGUUUUCCAUGUUUAGAUGGUGCCAUUCUCUGGGCUCUGCAGUCACCUCUGGUUGGGUAGGAUUGCAGGCUAUACUCCCCACAGGGCAGUGCCACUGAUGAAAUGCUGCAAUAGGAUAGGGUUUGGGGCUAUACUCUGCAAUCCUUCCUGUUCAGGUUUGGCCUCAGUUUGUCCCCACCAACUUGGGUGUUAUCCCUGGCUUGACUCUCCAUUUGGGCUGUGGGCUGGAAUUCAUGGUCAGAUGGGACCUUAGUCUGUGCUCUGCAAUUAGGGCAGCAGACCAUGCCUCAAACUUGGGCAGGGCUACAGGCUGGCUUCACAAUUCAGUAAGCUACUGGCCAUGCUCCUCUGUUGGGAGAGGUUGCUGGCUGGGCUCUCUGAUCAAGUGGGGCCUCUAACUAUACCCCAUGGCUAAGUGAGGCUGGUGACCAUGCUCUGAAGCUGAGUAGGCUCACUGUCCUUGCUUCUCAGUCAGGUAGGGCUGCAGGAUAUGCUCUGUGAUUGAGCAAGGUCACUGGAUAAGCUCCGUGCUUGGGUCAGGACACAAGCUGUUUAGCCAUCCGUUAAGGCCAUAUCAUCUGCUUUAUUACUACUGAGUAAGGUUAUAGGCUGGGCUUGGCAGCUGGGUCAUUACCAUAGGUUGGGCUCCAAAGCUCCUCAGGAAGCUUGAGCCUCCCUGGCUAUGUGGAGUAAGAGACUAUGCUCAACAGAUGGGCAGGGCUGCUGGCUUGGCUCCCUGCCAGGCAGAACCAUGAGAUAUCUUCCACAGCUUCAGGGUUUUGUGGCCACUAUUCCUGAAGAGUGGGUCUGGAUGCUGUGCUUAGUAGUUGGGCAGAACUGUGAAUUUCCUCUCCUGCUCAGGCAAGGCCAGAAUAUGUGCUUCACAGCUAAUGUGGCCCUCUGGCUAGAGAACUAAAUAAGGCUGAAAUGCCAACCAAGCUUCCUGGCCUGACAGGGUCACUGGCUUCAGUCUGCUGAUCUACAGAGAUGCUGGCUGGGAUCUCUGCUCAGAUGCCACUGCAAGCAGGAAUAGGAUCUGCCAAGAUGUAAAUACUAGUUCCUUUAAGCCCUGUCCCCCUUAUCUGUCUCUAUCUUAACCCCAGUAGUUGAACUCCACAGAUUCUCCCCAUGAUCUCUGUGAGGGAUGACCCAAGUAAGUCUCCUGGGAAGCAUCCUACAAUGCUGGGGAAAUUGGAUGUCGACCAGGAGGAGGGUGUGUGUGUGUGUGUGUGUGUGUGUGUGUGUCCUCUUUUUCCCAUGGGAAAAAAUUGUAGAGCCAGGGAGGCUCUCCUAGUAAGGUACAGUGCCCUCUCAGAAAGGGGGGGUAUGAUUAAAGUGAAAGCACUUCUCUUACCUUUCAAAUGCAGUCCUGCUCAGUCUCUGUUGUCCAGGGGAGGCCUACAGCCUCCUCCCUGGACUCUGCAGUUUCAUAAUGGUGUCCUGUCUGCAUAGUGGCUAGUUGGUCUUCAUAUUAGGAAGAUUGAAGUUAGGAACCAGGAACAAUCUAUGUCACCAUCUUGAUGAUGUCAUCCGGUCCUUUAGGCUAUUAUGCUUAAAAUGAACUUUUUUUUUUAAAAAUUUUUUUUUAUUUAUGAUAGUCACAGAGAGAGAGAGAGAGGCAGAGACACAGGCAGAGGGAGAAGCAGG
rnacentral:lncRNA from 1 species